rnacentral:rRNA from 1 species
CCUACGGGAGGCAGCAGUGGGGAAUCUUGCGCAAUGGGCGAAAGCCUGACGCAGCGACGCCGCGUGGGGGAUGAAGGCCCUCGGGUCGUAAACCCCUUUCGGCAGGGACGAAGCGAUCGUGACGGUACCUGCAGAAGAAGCUCCGGCUAACUACGUGCCAGCAGCCGCGGUAAU